rnacentral:lncRNA from 1 species
AGACUCGACGCCUUCCGCGUCUUCAAACUCCAUGGCCGCCAAGUCGUUCGCGCCCUUGACAACCUUGUGAACCCAGCGCGCGUUGGCCAGCUCUGCGAGGUGGUUGUGAAACGACGUGUCCGCGUAGAGCGGGAAAGAAGGCGACGUCAAGCUCGUGUACUUGAGAUCGCCGUCGACGUAGAACUCAAUCGCGCCCGCGUCGUUCACGAUCACUUGGAAAGUCUCACCCGCGACGAAGACGCCGGCAUCGAACUUGUUCACGCCCUUCUCUUGGAAUCGGACCUGAUUGCCGUUGCAGAACACGGCGUAGUCGAUGGUCGUUUGGCUGUGGCCCGAGGGCGUGCUCGACAAGCCAAACUGCAAGUGCCUGUUGUCGGUGCGCAUGCAGUCGCCGGAAAUGCCGCGAAUCUCGUCGCCGACUUUCGUGAUGGCGCGCGCGCUGUACGCGCCUCUUGCCCAGUUGUUCCCGCCUUGAGUACGUUUGAGGUAGCCCUGUUUGCCGUCCGUCGUCAUGCCCUGCGAAAGUCCGACCCACUCGAUGAGAUCCAAGUCGUUCGCACCCUCGUGGACAGUCUGUAUCCAGGAGACUCGAGAGAAAGACGCGCCUGCAGUGUUGAAGCGCGCGGUGGCGUAGAGCGGGAAGGCAGGCGCCUCAUCAGACGUCGCAAACGCCGCGCCAUCCUUGUAGUACGUGACGACGCCCGAGUCGAGCACGACCACUUGGAACGUCUCACCGACGAAGUAAUCGCCAAAGUCGCCGUCGCGCACGACGCCGUGUUCGGAGAUGCGGAUCACGCCGUUGUCGCACACAAUGCCGAAGUCGACCACCUCGUCGACGGAGUUCGUCGAGCCAGAGUUCAAGCCAAUCAUCAUGGACUUGUCCGUUUGGUCGCAAUCCGCGGAGACGCCACGCACUUCGUCGCCGAUCUUCGUGAUGGCACGUUUGCUCGUGGCGCCGACGUUCCAGCCACUGCCUGCCAUUGUGCGCGUCACUUGGCCCGCGGAAGACUCGACGCCUUCCGCGUCUUCAAACUCCAUGGCCGCCAAGUCGUUCGCGCCCUUGACAACCUUGUGAACCCAGCGCGCGUUGGCCAGCUCUGCGAGGUGGUUGUGAAACGACGUGUCCGCGUAGAGCGGGAAAGAAGGCGACGUCAAGCUCGUGUACUUGAGAUCGCCGUCGACGUAGAACUCAAUCGCGCCCGCGUCGUUCACGAUCACUUGGAAAGUCUCACCCGCGACGAAGACGCCGGCAUCGAACUUGUUCACGCCCUUCUCUUGGAAUCGGACCUGAUUGCCGUUGCAGAACACGGCGUAGUCGAUGGUCGUUUGGCUGUGGCCCGAGGGCGUGCUCGACAAGCCAAACUGCAAGUGCCUGUUGUCGGUGCGCAUGCAGUCGCCGGAAAUGCCGCGAACCUCGUCGCCGACUUUCGUGAUGGCGCGCGCGCUGUACGCACCUCUUGCCCAGUUGUUCCCGCCUUGAGUACGUUUGAGGUAGCCCUGUUUGCCGUCCGUCGUCAUGCCCUGCGAAAGUCCGACCCACUCGAUGAGAUCGAGAUCCCGUGAACCUUUAUGAACAACUUUUAUCCACUUCACAUUUUCGAGGUGUCCUCCACCUUCAUCAACGUAUCCAUCGGCAAACAAUGGGAAGAUCGGUUCUCUGCUACUAUUGUAGACAGAAUGUCCUUCUUUAUAAUAGUGAACGAUACCCUCGUCAUUAAAUGCGACCUGGAACGUUUCUCCCGCGAGGUAUGUUCCGAUCGUGGCCAUAAGCUCACCGUCUUCGUAAACUUCCAUUGUUCCGGCAUUGCAACCAACGGCAUACUCAAUAGCAUCGCCAUCCGAGGGUGUGUAAUGAGCGCUGCUCAAACCGAAUAUCAUUUUCGUUGUUGUGUCACUGCAAUCCGCAGAAAUACCGCGAACUUCGUCAUAAAUUUUAGUUACGGCGCGUUUACUUGUCGAGCGCACAAUGUCCAUUUUUUCAGGUGUAACCGGCAAGUACACGUCGCCGUGUGACACUUCACAUCGCUGGACUGUUUCAAAGUCCAUCAUGUUUAGCCAAUGCAUGUGGCUUAGCUUCGCACCUUCGGUGAAGAUUCGAGCCUGGGAGUAAAGAGGGAAUUCAACACUUUUAGUGCUGACAUGAAGAACAUUACCAUUUUGCAGAUACUCGAUGACACCAUGCUCGUUGAUGACGAUAGAAAAUGUCUCUCCAGGGCUGUACGCCGAAGGAGGCUCGACAAUGCGCUCGUGCCUUUGGAAGGCUGACGCAUUGUGUUGGUCAUUUAUGUAUUCGGGUGAAUCACUAUCCAAUGAAUCAAGUGCCAAGUCUGGCGAAGUACCAAGAUGUGUUGAAGGCGGUGGACCUUGAGCAUCGUUCUCCGGGGUCGGGACUUGAAGUUGGCCUUCAAUCCCAUGUGGUGUAUUCGGCUCGGGACGUCGAUGUGGCUCGAUUGUUUUGAUGACAACUCCAUCUUCAAGGAGACGCAACGUUCCGGCAUCACAGUAUAUCGCAAAGGACAGGUUCGUCUGCGCCGGAGCAGUAGCGGUUUCAUUCGCAGCGGUUUCAUUCAACUGAGCAUCUUGAUCACCUUGCACCAUGAGUCCAAACAUCAUCUGUGACUUGUUGUCGGAACAAUCGGCAGACACGCCUUUUUUGGUGUCAUUCCAACCGCGAAUUGAUGAACGACUCGUUGCGAAAGCAAGUAAUGAAGCUUCUUCGAUGCGUUUUGCCGCCUCUUCACUCAACACGUGAGCGAGAGAUCCAGGUGUAAGAGUCGCAUUCUCAGGUAGAAGGAACUCAACAGGCUCAAGGUCAUCGGCACCUUCAAUGAUUCGGUAAACCCAGCGCGCGUUGGCCAGCUCUGCGAGGUGGUUGUGAAACGACGUGUCGGCGUAGAGCGGGAAAGAAGGCGACGUCAAGCUCGUGUACUUGAGAUCGCCGUCGACGUAGAACUCAAUCGCGCCCGCGUCGUUCACGAUCACUUGGAAAGUCUCACCCGCGACGAAGACGCCGGCAUCGAACUUGUUCACGCCCUUCUCUUGGAAUCGGACCUGAUUGCCGUUGCAGAACACGGCGUAGUCGAUGGUCGUUUGGCUGUGGCCCGAGGGCGUGCUCGACAAGCCAAACUGCAAGUGCCUGUUGUCGGUGCGCAUGCAGUCGCCGGAAAUGCCGCGAAUCUCGUCGCCGACUUUCGUGAUGGCGCGCGCGCUGUACGCGCCUCUUGCCCAGUUGUUCCCGCCUUGAGUACGUUUGAGGUAGCCCUGUUUGCCGUCCGUCGUCAUGCCCUGCGAAAGUCCGACCCACUCGAUGAGAUCCAAGUCGUUCGCACCCUCGUGGACAGUCUGUAUCCAGGAGACUCGAGAGAAAGACGCGCCUGCAGUGUUGAAGCGCGCGGUGGCGUAGAGCGGGAAGGCAGGCGCCUCAUCAGACGUCGCAAACGCCGCGCCAUCCUUGUAGUACGUGACGACGCCCGAGUCGAGCACGACCACUUGGAACGUCUCACCGACGAAGUAAUCGCCAAAGUCGCCGUCGCGCACGACGCCGUGUUCGGAGAUGCGGAUCACGCCGUUGUCGCACACAAUGCCGAAGUCGACCACCUCGUCGACGGAGUUCGUCGAGCCAGAGUUCAAGCCAAUCAUCAUGGACUUGUCCGUUUGGUCGCAAUCCGCGGAGACGCCACGCACUUCGUCGCCGAUCUUCGUGAUGGCACGUUUGCUCGUGGCGCCGACGUUCCAGCCACUGCCUGCCAUUGUGCGCGUCACUUGGCCCGCGGAAGACUCGACGCCUUCCGCGUCUUCAAACUCCAUGGCCGCCAAGUCGUUCGCGCCCUUGACAACCUUGUGAACCCAGCGCGCGUUGGCCAGCUCUGCGAGGUGGUUGUGAAACGACGUGUCCGCGUAGAGCGGGAAAGAAGGCGACGUCAAGCUCGUGUACUUGAGAUCGCCGUCGACGUAGAACUCAAUCGCGCCCGCG